rnacentral:rRNA from 1 species
GGACGAACGCUAGCGAUAGGCUUAACACAUGCAAGUCGAGGGGCAGCACGGUGUAGCAAUACACUGGUGGCGACCGGCGUACGGGUGCGUAGCACGUAUGCAACCUACCCGCUAUUGGGGGAUAACCCGGCGAAAGUCGGACUAAUACCCCAUAUUAUUCUUACCGGGCAUCCGGUAGGUCUGAAAGAUUUAUCGAUUGCGGAUGGGCAUGCGGAUGAUUAGCUAGUAGGUGGGGUAACGGCUCACCUAGGCGACGAUCAUUAGGGGUUCUGAGAGGAAGGUCCCCCCACACUGGAACUGAGACACGGUCCAGACUCCUACGGGAGGCAGCAGUGAGGAAUAUUGGUCAAUGGGCGCUAGCCUGAACCAGCCAAGUCGCGUGAAGGAUGACAAGAUCCAUGGUUUGUAAACUUCUUUUGCAGGGGAGUAAAGUGCGACACGUGUGUUGUAUUGCAAGUACCCUGCGAAUAAGCAUCGGCUAACUCCGUGCCAGCCGCUGC